ACUCCAUGAGUUGUGGCUAUAGAUUCCACUCACAAGGUCUUACCUCCCUCUCCUCCUUUGGGAAGGAUGUAGUCUGCACGGAAUGCCAUCACAGGAGAGCAGCGUCGGGAAGCAGGAGCAGUUCAGUGCAAAGAUGCAAAAUCAGUAAAUUACAUAAGUGAAAAGGAUUAAUGAAGUACUGCUAAUGGGUUCAUGGACUGUUCAGAAAUCUGAUGAUGGAGGGGAAGAAUCAUUGAACGCGGCUCCUCGGGCUCCCUGACGGAGGGAACAGGAGAGUGCAUAUCCUGGAUGCUGAUGGUUCUUUGAGUUGGAUAGCAGCUUCUUGAGAUGCCACCUUGUGGGGAGGCUGAGGCCGUAGAUCUCUGCAGCCUCUUGCAUUCCUGGGCACUGCAGACGCCACACCAAGCUGUGAUGCAACCAGACGUGAAAGUUCAAGAAUUCUGCGGCAAUGAAUUCUACAGUUUCACCUCCCUCUGGCUAAAGAAAUUGAAGUGAGCGAUAUGGAACAUGUCGCGUUAAAGACAACAAAAUAUUAUGAAGCAAUGUGAGCAGGUAACACUAAAUUACAAAUUUAGUGUCUGGACUCCCGAAGUCCAGACAGGCAGAGCGGAGCGACUAAGUAAAACUGAAUACCUCAUUGGCUGGAGUACAGACACAAAGAUUCAAAGUGCAUUUAUUAUCAACGAAUGUAUAAAUUAUACAACCUUGAGAUAUGUUUGCUUACAGGCAGUCACAAAGCAAGGAACCCAA